GACGAACGCUGGCGGCGUGCUUAACACAUGCAAGUCGAACGGAAAGGCCCUGCUUUUGUGGGGUGCUCGAGUGGCGAACGGGUGAGUAACACGUGAGUAACCUGCCCUUGACUUUGGGAUAACUUCAGGAAACUGGGGCUAAUACCGGAUAGGAGCUCCUGCUGCAUGGUGGGGGUUGGAAAGUUUCGGCGGUUGGGGAUGGACUCGCGGCUUAUCAGCUUGUUGGCGGGGUAGUGGCUUACCAAGGCUUUGACGGGUAGCCGGCCUGAGAGGGUGACCGGCCACAUUGGGACUGAGAUACGGCCCAGACUCCUACGGGAGGCAGCAGUGGGGAAUAUUGCACAAUGGGCGGAAGCCUGAUGCAGCAACGCCGCGUGCGGGAUGACGGCCUUCGGGUUGUAAACCGCUUUCGCCUGUGACGAAGCGUGAGUGACGGUAAUGGGUAAAGGAGCACCGGCUAACUACGUG
rnacentral:rRNA from 1 species